UACAGAGGGGGCAAGCGUUGUUCGGAAUUACUGGGCGUAAAGGGCGCGUAGGCGCCUUCUAAGUCGAACGUGAAAUCCCCGGGCUCAACCCGGGAACUGCGUCCGAUACUGGAAGGCUUGAAUCCGGGAGAGGGAUGCGGAAUUCCAGGUGUAGCGGUGAAAUGCGUAGAUAUCUGGAGGAACACCGGUGGCGAAGGCGGCGAUCCUGGACCGGCAUUG
rnacentral:rRNA from 1 species